AGGGUAAUAGCUCAGUGGUAGAGCACAUGCUUAUGAACAUGUACGAGGUCCUGGGUUCAAUCCCCGGUACCUCCA
rnacentral:tRNA from 1 species